rnacentral:lncRNA from 1 species
GAAUGAUCGUAGCGUUGAAAUAACUCGAACAACCCAAACUUUCUCUCUCUAAAACAACAUCAAGAUUGAGGAGAGAGAAACAUUUCCCCCCUUCCAUUUCCCUCUCGAUUCCUUCGCCUUUGCUUUCGAUCCUUUUCACAGAACCUAAUUCCUCGAAUUUUCUCUCUUUCUCUUUAUCUUUGCUCCAUUUUCUCCCCAUUUUCACUUUCCCCAGGUACUCGCAUUUCUAUUCUCGCUUCUCAUAAUUAGGGUAAACCAAUUUUCCAAUUUCUUCAAAUUUUCCAAUCCGUGCAUGUAAUUAACAUCAAAACACUCUUAAUUUACUACUAAUUUUGUUUUUUAUCAAAAUUUUCAACUAAUUUUUUGCUCGAAUUUGAAGGAUUUCAAGUUUUUCCCCAAUUUUCCUUCGUUUUCUAGGUUUCCAAACAGAUGGAUUUUUUUUUUCUUGUUUUGUUUUGUUUUGUGGGCAGUUUUUUUUUCUUGAUAAUUUUGUAUUUUUAUUGUAAAAAUUAUUGCUUUUUUUUUUUUGUUUUUACAUUUUUAAAAUAUAUAUUAGGUCAUAUGAUUGGAUGAAUGGAUCUGAGAUUGAUGCAUAAUAGGUUUAGCGACAUGUGCUUGUUAUCAUAGCUCCAUGUUAUGGUGAAAUAUUAUAUUAACCCCUUAUCUUACUUUGUUAGUUGUCUUUGCUUGCUGUUGCUUCACUCGUAUCUCUCCACGUUGCUUGUCCUUUUGAGUUUUGAGUUUGACCGACUUAUGUGUAUAAAUCUCUUACUUUGUUUUCUUUCCUUUGCUGUUCAAUUUGUUGCCAGAUGCACUUUGGUCCUUUGGCCUAGAUUGUUGGAUUCUUUACUCCAAUUGUUAACUGGUGAGUUUUUCCAAUCCAAUUGAUGCAUCAUAUGCAUUGUUUUCACUACUAGAGAGUGAGGCUCCUUUGUUGGCAGAAUGUUGCUUUUUUUAGCAAUUGUGUUUCACUUGUUAUUGCAUUGAAUUGAGUGCUAGUUCAUUGUUUCAUGUGUGUGCUGUGCUUUCUUAAUAUUGUGUUGGUUUAACACUCAGCUAGUUUAUUCUUGGUCUCUCCCUUUCAAGAUGAUUAGAUGUUCUAAAUUUUGCUCUAAUGAAUUUUGUACUAUGUCACCUGUUCAUUAGAAUUUACUAUCUGGUUAUAUGUUAAUUUGCUAGUGUUACAAGACCAAAAAUCAUUUUAGAUUUAGACAGUUGAAUUAUGUGUGAUUUAUGUAUGCUUUUGCGUUGGUUAUUAUCCUUGCAGUCAUAAACCUGUGGUGUCUUGCUCACAUCUGAAGCAUGCAUGAAUCAUGAAUGUCCCUGAGUGGUUGUCAAAGUCUACUAAUAAAUACUAAUACUGCCAAAAUAGGAAAAUAAAAUAUGGGUUACAAUUGCAUUGCAUGAUUGGAUCUAUGAUUUAGAUUUUAGAGUGAGUGAUUAGAUUUAAAAAUCUGUUGGCCCUGUCUUCUUCUUAGAGGAUGCGCCAUAUCUAAUGAGUUCUCUUAUCCAAAAUAAACUAUAGAUUUUCGUAGAUGCAGUACAAAUAGCACUAGUUGUACUUUUAAUAUAUAGGUACAUGUUGAUAUAUUUUUCUUUCAAUGUUAUUUGCUAUGAGAAGUUCAGGUAUUUUCUGUUUGACUAUCAGUAAAGGUUAUUGUCAGGUAUCAACUGGAGAAAGAAACUUGGCAAAGUUUUACUUAGUAUUGGUUAGAGGCUUAAUAUCUCUUGCUAGACCAGACAACUUGUGUAAUAUCUAUUUCUAGCCACCUUACAUGCAUCUUCUGACAUUAUUUAGUGGGCUGGUUUUAGUUAUUAAUGUUUGACUGUAAGGUUCAGAUCACUUUUUAUAUUAACGAAUUGAGUUUUCGAUAGAACUGGGAGGAACCUUUUCAGUGAGGAAACUACAUGCAUGUCUGUAUCCUGAUUAUUUCUGGAGAUGAGGUUCUUUCUUUUCCCAAAAACUUUCUCCGGAUGCCGUAAGAAGGGUUUUUUUUCCUUUAAGAUAAGAUGAUUCGAACAGAUCAAUUUUAUUUUAGGCAUCUUAUAGGACCGUAGAUUCUCCCUCCAAUCUUCUUAAAUACUGUCUCCCCUUUCUAAUUCUAAUAUAAUUUAUUUAGAAAAACAAUAAUUGGACACAACUAACUACAUGUUGCAAAGGGUUCACGGCGAAUAACCAAUAAAUACAUAUUAUAGAAUGUGCAGAAAACAGUGCUGUCAAAUGACGGCCAUGUGAUAGGUACUCACGGUUAGUGACUAAUUAGGGAUUAAUAGAUAAUUAGGGGAGUUCUAUCACCAUGGCAUGGUGUAUUUAUGGAGGUUCGCAAUGAAAAGUGCAUGGCAUGGCGGAUUCUUAAUGGCGGCGGCUAUAUGCAUGGUGGAUGGCAAUGGCAAUGCGCUCAGGGGGGAAGUUAUGGUUCCUAGAUUGAAAAAACAACCCGAAUGGGUCAUAUGACCCGGCCCGUACAUGUUCUAAACCUGACCCAAAUGAUUUUGAAACCCUAAUUUGUACAAGAGGCAGCCCCUGUUCUCCUUUUUCCUUCUCAUUUGAAGCCUGCCUCUGUUCUGUCCAGCCAGAGUCCCUCCUCAUCCAGCUCCCAUCCUCGUCCGGUGACAGUCCGGCACACUAGUCCAGCGAUCCCCCCUCCGGUGAGGCCUCUUUUUUUUCUCUCCCUUGAUCCUUUCUUCUCUGUCUCUCAAUCCUGACCCUGUUUUUAUUCUUCUCAUCUGUUAUUAAUCACUAGGCAGCUCUUCUCUCCUUUCCUCAUUUAAGAAAUUAAUAGGGCUAAUUCAGACCCUGUUUUGAUUUCUGUCAUUGCUAUGAGACUUAUUUUGUUGGGGACCUUGUGUUAUGUCGUUAUUAUGGUACUUGGGUUUUUAUUUUUCUACAAUUCUAUCAUUUUGUCAUUGACUAUGUUGUUACUUGUUAGUUUAUUAUUAUUAUUGAUUCUGCAUUUUUAUAUGCUUUUGUAUAUAUAUUAUAUAUUUUUAUUAUGGCCACCAUGCUUCCUCCAUAGGCCGCCUUGGCAUCCGCUGUAUUUUUGUGGCGUUNNNNNNNNNNNNNNNNNNNNNNNNNNNNNNNNNNNNNNNNNNNNNNNNNNNNNNNNNNNNNNNNNNNNNNNNNNNNNNNNNNNNNNCCCAAACUUUCUCUCUCUAAAACAACAUCAAGAUUGAGGAGAGAGAAACAUUUCCCCCCUUCCAUUUCCCUCUCGAUUCCUUCGCCUUUGCUUUCGAUCCUUUUCACAGAACCUAAUUCCUCGAAUUUUCUCUCUUUCUCUUUAUCUUUGCUCCAUUUUCUCCCCAUUUUCACUUUCCCCAGGUACUCGCAUUUCUAUUCUCGCUUCUCAUAAUUAGGGUAAACCAAUUUUCCAAUUUCUUCAAAUUUUCCAAUCCGUGCAUGUAAUUAACAUCAAAACACUCUUAAUUUACUACUAAUUUUGUUUUUUAUCAAAAUUUUCAACUAAUUUUUUGCUCGAAUUUG